rnacentral:tRNA from 1 species
GGCCCUGUGGCUUAGCCUGGUUAGAGCGCUGCUCUUAUAAAGCAGAGGUCGCGGAUUCAAAACAAGUGUCACGCCACAUGAAAGCGAAGGGAUUUCGCAUACGCUCAAUCUCACAAUCGUGACAAUUGGUGAAAGUUCCGCCAGGGCCA